UACAGAGGUCCCAAGCGUUGUUCGGAUUCACUGGGCGUAAAGGGUGCGCAGGUGGGUUGGCAAGUUCGAUGUGAAAUCCCCGGGCUCAACCUGGGAACUGCAUUCGAAACUGGCAGGCUUGAGUCUUGUAGAGGGGGGUAGAAUUCCAGGUGUAGCGGUGAAAUGCGUAGAGAUCUGGAGGAAUACCGGUGGCGAAGGCGGCCCCCUGGACAAAGACUGACGCUCAGGUGCGAAAGCGUGGGGAGCAAACAGG
rnacentral:rRNA from 1 species